GACGAACGCUGGCGGCGUGCUUAACACAUGCAAGUCGAACGGAAAGGCCCUGCUUGCAGGGUGCUCGAGUGGCGAACGGGUGAGUAACACGUGGGUGAUCUGCCCCUUACUUUGGGAUAAGCCUGGGAAACUGGGUCUAAUACUGGAUAGGACCAUGCUGUAGGUGGUGUGGUGGAAAGAUUAGUUUCGGUAAGGGAUGAGCUCGCGGCCUAUCAGCUUGUUGGUGGGGUAAUGGCCUACCAAGGCGUCGACGGGUAGCCGGCCUGAGAGGGUGGACGGCCACAUUGGGACUGCGGUACGGCCCACACUCCUACGGGAGGCAGCAGUGGGGAAUAUUGCACAAUGGGCGCAAGCCUGAUGCAGCAACGCCGCGUGGGGGAUGACGGCCUUCGGGUUGUAAACUCCUUUCAGCCAUGACGAAGCCCUUGUGGUGACGGUAGUGGUAGAAGAAGCACCGGCUAACUACGUG
rnacentral:rRNA from 1 species